CUGUGAGCUCGAUGAGUAGGGCGGGACACGUGGUAUCCUGUCUGAAUAUGGGGGGACCAUCCUCCAAGGCUAAAUACUCCUGACUGACCGAUAGUGAACCAGUACCGUGAGGGAAAGGCGAAAAGAACCCCGGCGAGGGGAGUGAAAAAGAACCUGAAACCGUGUACGUACAAGCAGUGGGAGCACGCUUAGGCGUGUGACUGCGUACCUUUUGUAUAAUGGGUCAGCGACUUAUAUUCUGUAGCAAGGUUAACCGAAUAGGGGAGCCGAAGGGAAACCGAGUCUUAACUGGGCGUUAAGUUGCAGGGUAUAGACCCGAAACCCGGUGAUCUAGCCAUGGGCAGGUUGAAGGUUGGGUAACACUAACUGGAGGACCGAACCGACUAAUGUUGAAAAAUUAGCGGAUGACUUGUGGCUGGGGGUGAAAGGCCAAUCAAACCGGGAGAUAGCUGGUUCUCCCCGAAAGCUAUUUAGGUAGCGCCUCGUGAAUUCAUCUCCGGGGGUAGAGCACUGUUUCGGCAAGGGGGUCAUCCCGACUUACCAACCCGAUGCAAACUGCGAAUACCGGAGAAUGUUAUCACGGGAGACACACGGCGGGUGCUAACGUCCGUCGUGAAGAGGGAAACAACCCAGACCGCCAGCUAAGGUCCCAAAGUCAUGGUUAAGUGGGAAACGAUGUGGGAAGGCCCAGACAGCCAGGAUGUUGGCUUAGAAGCAGCCAUCAUUUAAAGAAAGCGUAAUAGCUCACUGGUCGAGUCGGCCUGCGCGGAAGAUGUAACGGGGCUAAACCAUGCACCGAAGCUGCGGCAGCGACGCUUAUGCGUUGUUGGGUAGGGGAGCGUUCUGUAAGCCUGUGAAGGUGUGCUGUGAGGCAUGCUGGAGGUAUCAGAAGUGCGAAUGCUGACAUAAGUAACGAUAAAGCGGGUGAAAAGCCCGCUCGCCGGAAGACCAAGGGUUCCUGUCCAACGUUAAUCGGGGCAGGGUGAGUCGACCCCUAAGGCGAGGCCGAAAGGCGUAGUCGAUGGGAAACAGGUUAAUAUUCCUGUACUUGGUGUUACUGCGAAGGGGGGACGGAGAAGGCUAUGUUGGCCGGGCGACGGUUGUCCCGGUUUAAGCGUGUAGGCUGGUUUUCCAGGCAAAUCCGGAAAAUCAAGGCUGAGGCGUGAUGACGAGGCACUACGGUGCUGAAGCAACAAAUGCCCUGCUUCCAGGAAAAGCCUCUAAGCAUCAGGUAACAUCAAAUCGUACCCCAAACCGACACAGGUGGUCAGGUAGAGAAUACCAAGGCGCUUGAGAGAACUCGGGUGAAGGAACUAGGCAAAAUGGUGCCGUAACUUCGGGAGAAGGCACGCUGAUAUGUAGGUGAAGUCCCUCGCGGAUGGAGCUGAAAUCAGUCGAAGAUACCAGCUGGCUGCAACUGUUUAUUAAAAACACAGCACUGUGCAAACACGAAAGUGGACGUAUACGGUGUGACGCCUGCCCGGUGCCGGAAGGUUAAUUGAUGGGGUUAGCGCAAGCGAAGCUCUUGAUCGAAGCCCCGGUAAACGGCGGCCGUAACUAUAACGGUCCUAAGGUAGCGAAAUUCCUUGUCGGGUAAGUUCCGACCUGCACGAAUGGCGUAAUGAUGGCCAGGCUGUCUCCACCCGAGACUCAGUGAAAUUGAACUCGCUGUGAAGAUGCAGUGUACCCGCGGCAAGACGGAAAGACCCCGUGAACCUUUACUAUAGCUUGACACUGAACAUUGAGCCUUGAUGUGUAGGAUAGGUGGGAGGCUUUGAAGUGUGGACGCCAGUCUGCAUGGAGCCGACCUUGAAAUACCACCCUUUAAUGUUUGAUGUUCUAACGUUGACCCGUAAUCCGGGUUGCGGACAGUGUCUGGUGGGUAGUUUGACUGGGGCGGUCUCCUCCUAAAGAGUAACGGAGGAGCACGAAGGUUGGCUAAUCCUGGUCGGACAUCAGGAGGUUAGUGCAAUGGCAUAAGCCAGCUUGACUGCGAGCGUGACGGCGCGAGCAGGUGCGAAAGCAGGUCAUAGUGAUCCGGUGGUUCUGAAUGGAAGGGCCAUCGCUCAACGGAUAAAAGGUACUCCGGGGAUAACAGGCUGAUACCGCCCAAGAGUUCAUAUCGACGGCGGUGUUUGGCACCUCGAUGUCGGCUCAUCACAUCCUGGGGCUGAAGUAGGUCCCAAGGGUAUGGCUGUUCGCCAUUUAAAGUGGUACGCGAGCUGGGUUUAGAACGUCGUGAGACAGUUCGGUCCCUAUCUGCCGUGGGCGCUGGAGAACUGAGGGGGGCUGCUCCUAGUACGAGAGGACCGGAGUGGACGCAUCACUGGUGUUCGGGUUGUCAUGCCAAUGGCACUGCCCGGUAGCUAAAUGCGGAAGAGAUAAGUGCUGAAAGCAUCUAAGCACGAAACUUGCCCCGAGAUGAGUUCUCCCUGACUCCUUGAGAGUCCUGAAGGAACGUUGAAGACGACGACGUUGAUAGGCCGGGUGUGUAAGCGCAGCGAUGCGUUGAGCUAACCGGUACUAAUGAACCGUGAGGCUUAACCUU
rnacentral:rRNA from 1 species